CGAUGCUCUUCGGAUCACUUUUUAAGACUGGAAUCCCAUUUUUAAAUGGAUAACAGCUAAGAGGCUACUGGCAAUCUGUUUAUUUCCAAAGCUGUGUUUU